UAUGGCUGUACUACCCUGAACGUGCCUGAUCUCGGAAGCUAAGCAGGGUCAGGCCUGGUUAGCAUUUGGAUGGGAGACUUCAAACCAUUCAGCUGAGAAUAGAAGCCCAGGUAAGACCAUAC